rnacentral:rRNA from 1 species
GGUCUGAGAGGAUGAUCAGCCACACUUGAACUGAGACACGGUCCAGACUCCUACGGGAGGCAGCAGUGGGGAAUAUUGCGCAAUGGGCGAAAGCCUGACGCAGCCAUGCCGCGUGUGUGAAGAAGGCCUUAGGGUUGUAAAGCACUUUCAAUUGGGAAGAAAAGUUGAUCGUUAAUAGCGGUCAGCCCUGACAUUACCUUUAGAAGAAGCACCGGCUAACUCCGUGCCAGCAGCCGCGGUAAUACGAAGGUGGCGAGCGUUGUUCGGAAUCACUGGGCAUAAAGGGCACGCAGGCGGCGGCUUAAGUUAGUUGUGAAAUACCCAGGCUCAACCUGGGGAACGCAACUAAAACUGAGUUGCUUGAGCACGGAAGGGGAAGGUAGAAUUCCAGGUGGAGCGGUGAAAUGCGUAGAUAUCUGGAGGAAUACCAGAGGCGAAGGCGGCCUUCUGGUCCGUUGCUGACGCUGAGGUGCGAAAGCUAGGGGAGCAAACAGGAUUAGAUACCCUGGUAGUCCUAGCUGUAAACGAUGUGCACUAGGUAGAGGACGUACUCUGCGUUCUUUGCCGGAGCAAAUGUAUUAAGUGCACCGCCUGGGGAGUACAGUCGCAAGGCCGAAACUCAAAGGAAUUGACGGGGGCUCACACAAGCGGUGGAGCAUGUUGUUUAAUUCGAAACAACGCGCAGAACCUUACCCAGACUUGACAUGUUGGUGGUACGAGGAUGAAAGUCCAAGGACCCGGUAACGGGAGCCAGCACAGGUGUUGCAUGGCUGUCGUCAGCUCGUGUCGUGAGAUGUUAGGUUAAGUCCUGUAACGAGCGAAACCCCUAUCGUCUAGUUGCCACCGGGUAAUGCCGGGCACUCUAGCGAGACUGCCGAUCCAAACCGGAGGAAGGAGGGGAUGACGUCAAGUCCUCAUGGCCCUUACGUCUGGGGCUACAAACGUGCUACAAUGGCUGGUACAAAGGGCAGCGAACUCGCAAGGGCAAGCGAAUCCCAAAAAGCCAGUCUCAGUUCGGAUUGCAGGCUGCAACUCGCCUGCAUGAAGUUGGAAUCGCUAGUAAUCGCGGAUCAGCUACGCCGCGGUGAAUAUGUUCCUGAGCCUUGUACACACCGCCCGUCAAGCCACGAGAGCGGGCAGUACCCGAAGUCGCUGACCCAACCCGCAAGGGAGGGAAGUGCCGACGGUAAGGCUCGUGAUUGGGACUAAGUCGUAACAAGGUA